rnacentral:rRNA from 1 species
UACGGAGGGGCUAGCGUUGUUCGGAAUUACUGGGCGUAAAGCGCACGUAGGCGGCUUUGCAAGUUAGAGGUGAAAGCCCGGGGCUCAACUCCGGAAUUGCCUUUAAACUGCAUCGCUAGAAUUGUGGAGAGGUAAGUGGAAUUCCGAGUGUAGAGGUGAAAUUCGUAGAUAUUCGGAAGAACACCAGUGGCGAAGGCGACUUACUGGACACAUAUUGACGCUGAGGUGCGAAGCGUGGGAGCAACAGGAUUAGAUACCGUGU